rnacentral:rRNA from 1 species
GUAGGUGGCAAGCGUUGUCCGGAAUUAUUGGGCGUAAAGCGCGCGCAGGGCGGUCCUUUAAGUCUGAUGUGAAAGCCCACGGCUCAACCGUGGAGGGUCAUUGGAAACUGGGGGACUUGAGUACAGAAGAGGAAAGCGGGAUUCCAAGUGUAGCGGUGAAAUGCGUAGAGAUUUGGAGGAACACCAGUGGCGAAGGCGGCUUUCUGGUCUGUAACUGACGCUGAGGCGCGAAAGCGUGGGGAGCAAACAGGAUUAGAUACCCUAGUAGUCCACGCCGUAAACGAUGAGUGCUAAGUGUUAGGGGGUUUCCGCCCCUUAGUGCUGCAGCUAACGCAUUAAGCACUCCGCCUGGGGAGUACGGCCGCAAGGCUG